ACAGACCACCUGGGGAUCUUGUUAAAAUGCAGAUUCUGAUUCAGUAGGUCUGAGAUAGGGUCUGGGAUUCUGCAUUUCUAGCAAGUUCCCAGCUGAGGCCAAU
rnacentral:pre_miRNA from 1 species